AGUGAACGCUGGCGGUAGGCCUAACACAUGCAAGUCGAACGGUAGCACAGUAAGAGCUUGCUCUUACGGGUGGCGAGUGGCGGACGGGUGAGGAAUACAUCGGAAUCUACUUUUUCGUGGGGGAUAACGUAGGGAAACUUACGCUAAUACCGCAUACGACCUACGGGUGAAAGCAGGGGAUCUUCGGACCUUGCGCGAUUGAAUGAGCCGAUGUCGGAUUAGCUAGUUGGCGGGGUAAAGGCCCACCAAGGCGACGAUCCGUAGCUGGUCUGAGAGGAUGAUCAGCCACACUGGAACUGAGACACGGUCCAGACUACUACGGGAGGCAGCAGUGGGGAAUAUUGGACAAUGGGCGCAAGCCUGAUCCAGCCAUAACGCGUGGGUGAAGAAGGCCUUCGGGUUGUAAAGCCCUUUUGUUGGGAAAGAAAAGCAGCAGGUUAAUACCCCGCUGUUCUGACGGUACCCAAAGAAUAAGCACCGGCUAACUUCGU
rnacentral:rRNA from 1 species